rnacentral:rRNA from 1 species
GUUUGAUCCUGGCUCAGGAUGAACGCUGGCGGCGUGCUUAACACAUGCAAGUCGAACGAUGAUCUCCAGCUUGCUGGGGGGAUUAGUGGCGAACGGGUGAGUAACACGUGAGUAACCUGCCCUUGACUCUGGGAUAAGCCUGGGAAACUGGGUCUAAUACCGGAUAUGACCAUCUGGCGCAUGUCAUGGUGGUGGAAAGCUUUUUUGUGGUUUUGGAUGGACUCGCGGCCUAUCAGCUUGUUGGUGGGGUAAUGGCCUACCAAGGCGACGACGGGUAGCCGGCCUGAGAGGGUGACCGGCCACACUGGGACUGAGACACGGCCCAGACUCCUACGGGAGGCAGCAGUGGGGAAUAUUGCACAAUGGGCGCAAGCCUGAUGCAGCGACGCCGCGUGAGGGAUGACGGCCUUCGGGUUGUAAACCUCUUUCAGUAGGGAAGAAGCGUAAGUGACGGUACCUGCAGAAGAAGCGCCGGCUAACUACGUGCCAGCAGCCGCGGUAAUACGUAGGGCGCAAGCGUUAUCCGGAAUUAUUGGGCGUAAAGAGCUCGUAGGCGGUUUGUCGCGUCUGCUGUGAAAGACCGGGGCUCAACUCCGGUUCUGCAGUGGGUACGGGCAGACUAGAGUGCAG